rnacentral:rRNA from 1 species
GAGCCCAAGAUUGAAAGCUGGCGUCUUCGGCGUCCGCAUUGUAAUCUCAAGAAGUGUUUUCCGCUUCGGACCAAGCCUAAGUCCCCUGGAAAGGGGCAUCAUAGAGGGUGAUAAUCCCGUACAUGGCUUGGAGCGCCCGAGGCUUUGUGAUACGCUUUCUAAGAGUCGAGUUGUUUGGGAAUGCAGCUCAAAAUGGGUGGUAAAUGCCAUCUAAGGCUAAAUAUUGGGGAGAGACCGAUAGCGAACAAGUACAGUGAUGGAAAGAUGAAAAGAACUUUGAAAAGAGAGUUAAACAGUACGUGAAAUUGCCAAAAGGGAAGGGUAGGAGGUCAGAGAUGCGGCCUGGGAUUCAGCCUUGCUUUUGCUUGGUGUUCUUCCCAGAUUGCAGGCCAACGUCGGUUUUGGGCACUGGAGAAGGGUAGGAGGAACGUGGCACCCCUCGGGGUGUGUUAUAGCCUCCUACUGGAUACAGCGACCGAGACCGAGGACAGCAGCGUACUCGCAAGAGCGGGCCUUCGGGCACCUUUACGCUUAGGGCGUUGGCAUAAUGGCCCUCUACCACCCGUCUUGA